rnacentral:rRNA from 1 species
CAAAUCAGGUAGGAUUACCCGCUGAACUUAAGCAUAUCAAUAAGCGGGGGAAAAGAAACUAACAAGGAUUCCCCUAGUAACUGCGAGUGAAGCGGGAAAAGCUCAAAUUUAAAAUCUGGUAGUCUUUGGCUGCCCGAGUUGUAAUCUAGAGAAGCGUUAUCCGUGCUGGACCGUGUAUAAGUCUUCUGGAAUGGAGCGUCAUAGAGGGUGAGAAUCCCGUCUUUGACACGGACUACCAGUGCUUUGUGAUGCGCUCUCAAAGAGUCGAGUUGUUUGGGAAUGCAGCUCUAAAUGGGUGGUAAAUUCCAUCUAAAGCUAAAUAUUGGCGAGAGACCGAUAGCGAACAAGUACCGUGAGGGAAAGAUGAAAAGAACUUUGGAAAGAGAGUUAAACAGUACGUGAAAUUGUUGAAAGGGAAACGCUUGAAGUCAGUCGCGUUAGCUAGGAAUCAGCCUUGCUUUUGCUUGGUGUACUUCCUGGUUGACGGGUCAGCAUCAAUUUUGACCGGUGGAAAAAGGCCAGUUGAAUGUGGCACCUUCGGGUGUGUUAUAGCUUCUGGUCGUAUACAUCGGUUGGGAUUGAGGAACUCAGCACGCCGCAAGGUCGGGGUUCGCCCACGUUCGUGCUUAGGAUGCUGGCAUAAUGGCUUUAAUCGACCCGUCUUGAAACACGGACC